AGGCUUUUUCAACAAAUACAAAUUUCCCAAUGUGCUGGGCGCGAUUGACUGUACCCACGUGCAGAUCAGACCGCCACGGAAUUCAGAGGAAUGUUUUCGGAACCGAAAACAGUUCCAUUCCCUGAACGUGCAAGCGGUCUGUGAUGUAAACAUGAGAUUUUUGAACAUUUUUGUGGGAUUUCCUGGAUCAUCUCACGACUCCUUCAUCCUAAGCCAGUCAUCGCUGUUUGACAAGUUUGAAACAGGAAACAUGCCUGGUGGCUGGCUGUUAGGCGAUGCGGGUUAUCCAAACAAACCGUGGCUGUUGACCCCAUUGUCUAAUCCUGUUGGUAGAGCAGAAAAACGUUACCAAGAGACACACAUUGCAUCGAGGGGAGUAAUUGAGCGUGCCUUCGGUGUACUUAAAAGCCGGUUUCGAUGUUUAGACACUUCCGGCGGUGCUCUUUUGUACUCACCGUCGAAGGUUUGCGGCAUGGUAAAUGCAUGUUGUAUUUUACACAACAUAUGUGUCGCAAACCGUUUGCCGGUGACGCUUCGUCGCAGUGCUUUCCGACGCGGGAACCGGUCUUCUGCUCUACCGGUGGGUAUGGACGAAGGAGAGGAUUCCCGGCGGACAUUGAUCCAAAAUUAUUUUGCAGUUGCCUAGUUUUACAUCCUGUUGAUGUAUAUCCCCAGGCCAUGUUUGUACAGUUCGUUACCCCGUUUUAUCCUGUUGUUGGGUUCCCGCAAAUAUUUGAUCCUUUUAUCCAACUCUACCAUGGGUGAACCUACUGGUGAUGUGGACCUGACCCUCCGCCAUGUAGCAGACAACCCCCCCUCAGGUCUUCCGGUGUAUCCUUCCUAAGUGGUGUGGAUGUGAAGAGACAGUUCCCUUGAUGUUCCCUGGGCAAUCUACUUACGUACAAUUCAAAUGCAUUACAAAUUUUAAUAAAAACCACAGGAAACUUCUAUUUUUAAAAGUUUAUU